rnacentral:rRNA from 1 species
AACGAACGCUGGCGGCAUGCCUAACACAUGCAAGUCGAACGAGACCUUCGGGUCUUGUGGCGCACGGGUGCGUCACGCGUGGGAACCUGCCCUUAGGUUCGGAAUACCUCCCCGACAGGGGUGCUAAUACCGGAUCAUGUCUUCGGACCAAAGAUUUAUUGCCUUUGGAUGUGCCCUCGUGGGAUUAGCUAGUUGGUAGGGUAAAAGCCUACCAAGGCGACGAUCCAUAGCUGGUCUGAGAGGAUGAUCAGCCACACUGGGACUGAGACACGGCCCAGACUCCUACGGGAGGCAGCAGUGGGGAAUAUUGGAAAAUGGGGGAAAGCCUGAUCCAGCAAGGCCGGGUGAGUGAUGAAGGCCUUAGGGUUGUAAAGCUCUUUUAACCGGGAUGAUAAUGACAGUACCGGGAGAAUAAGCGCCGGCUAACUCCGUG